rnacentral:rRNA from 1 species
AACGCGAAGAACCUUACCAGGUCUUGACAUCGUAUGCAUACCAUAGAGAUAUGGGAAAUUCCUUCGGGAACAUAUAGACAGGUGGUGCAUGGUUGUCGUCAGCUCGUGUCGUGAGAUGUUGGGUUAAGUCCCGCAACGAGCGCAACCCUUACCUUUAGUUGCUACGCAAGAGCACUCUAAAGGGACUGCCGUUGACAAAACGGAGGAAGGUGGGGAUGACGUCAAAUCAUCAUGCCCCUUAUGACCUGGGCUACACACGUACUACAAUGGCAAUUAACAAAGAGAAGCAAGACGGUGACGUGGAGCGAAUCUCAAAAAAUUGUCCCAGUUCAGAUUGCAGGCUGCAACUCGCCUGCAUGAAGUCGGAAUUGCUAGUAAUCGCGGAUCAGCAUGCCGCGGUGAAUACGUUCCCGGGCCUUGUACACACCG